UACAGAGGGUGCAAGCGUUGUUCGGAAUUAUUGGGCGUAAAGCGCGUGUAGGCGGCUUUGCAAGUCGGGUGUGAAAGCCCUCAGCUCAACUGAGGAAGUGCGCCCGAAACUGCAGAGCUUGAGUACCGGAGAGGAUGGUGGAAUUCCCCAAGUAGAGGUGAAAUUCGUAGAUAUGGGGAGGAACACCGGUGGCGAAGGCGACCAUCUGGACGGAUACUGACGCUGAGACGCGAAAGCGUGGGGAGCAAACGGG
rnacentral:rRNA from 1 species